rnacentral:rRNA from 1 species
CAGCAGCCGCGGUAAUACCGAGGGUGCAAGCGUUAAUCGGAAUUACUGGGCGUAAAGCGCGCGUAGGUGGUUUGUUAAGUUGGAUGUUAAAUCCCCGGGCUCAACCUGGGAACUGCAUCCAAAACUGGCAAGCUAGAGUAUGGUAGAGGGUGGUGGAAUUUCCUGUGUAGCGGUGAAAUGCGUAGAUAUAUGAAGGAACACCAGUGGCGAAGGCGACCACCUGGACUGAUACUGACACUGAGGUGCGAAAGCGUGGGGAGCAAACAGGAUUAGAUACCCGCGUAGUCCCUGUCUCUUAUAC